AUAAUAAUUAGUCUCUUAAUUAGAGGCUGGAAUGAAUGAUUGGACGAGAUAAAUUCUGUCUCAUUAUAAUUAAAUUUUGAAUUUAAUUUUUAAGUUAAAAAGCUUAGAUUUUUUUAUAGGACGAGAAGACCCUAUAGAGCUUUAUAGUUUUAAUUUAAUUUUUUUUUAUUUUUUAUUAUUUAUUUAAAAUUAUUUUGUUGGGGCGACAGGAAAAUUUAUUAAACUUUUUUAAUUUUUUUACAUUGAUUUAUGAAUUUUUGAUCCUAAUUUUUAGAUUGAUAGAUUAAGUUACCUUAGGGAUAACAGCGUUAUUUUUUUUUAGAGUUCAUAUUGAUAAAAAAGAUUGC
rnacentral:rRNA from 1 species